rnacentral:pre_miRNA from 1 species
GUCUUACUCCCUCCGUUCGGAAUUACUUAUCGCGAAAAUGGAUAUAUCUAGACGUAUUUUAGUUCUAAAUACAUCCAUUUCCGAGACAAGUAAUUUCAAACGGAGGGAGUACAUG